rnacentral:rRNA from 1 species
UACGAAGGGGGCUAGCGUUGUUCGGAAUUACUGGGCGUAAAGCGCGCGCAGGCGGCUAUCCAAGUCAGUGGUGAAAGCCCGGAGCUCAACUCCGGAACUGCCAUUGAAACUGUUUAGCUUGAGGAUGAGAGAGGUGAGUGGAAUUCCCAGUGUAGAGGUGAAAUUCGUAGAUAUUGGGAAGAACACCGGUGGCGAAGGCGGCUCACAGGCUCAUUACUGACGCUCAGGCGCGAUAGCGUGGGGAUCAAACAGG